CCUACGGGAGGCAGCAGUGGGGAAUAUUGCACAAUGGGCGGAAGCCUGAUGCAGCGACGCCGCGUGAGGGAUGACGGCCUUCGGGUUGUAAACCUCUUUCAGUAGGGAAGAAGCGUAAGUGACGGUACCUGCAGAAGAAGCGCCGGCUAACUACGUGCCAGCAGCCGCGGUAAUACGUAGGGCGCAAGCGUUAUCCGGAAUUAUUGGGCGUAAAGAGCUCGUAGGCGGUUUGUCGCGUCUGCUGUGAAAGACCGGGGCUCAACUCCGGUUCUGCAGUGGGUACGGGCAGACUAGAGUGAUGUAGGGGAGACUGGAAUUCCUGGUGUAGCGGUGAAAUGCGCAGAUAUCAGGAGGAACACCGAUGGCGAAGGCAGGUCUCUGGGCAUUAACUGACGCUGAGGAGCGAAAGCAUGGGGAGCGAACAGGAUUAGAUACCCUGGUAGUCCAUGCCGUAAACGUUGGGCACUAGGUGUGGGGGACAUUCCACGUUUUCCGCGCCGUAGCUAACGCAUUAAGUGCCCCGCCUGGGGAGUACGGCCGCAAGGCAAAACUCAAAGGAAUUGACGGCUGAGACNGCGAGACGACACGAGGGAGAGG
rnacentral:rRNA from 1 species